rnacentral:sRNA from 1 species
CUUGGUCAUUUAGAGGAAGUAAAAGUCGUAACAAGGUCUCCGUAGGUGAACCUGCAGAGGGAUCAUUACAAGUGACCCCGGUCUAACCACCGGGAUGUUCAUAACCCUUUGUUGUCCGACUCUGUUGCCUCCGGGGCGACCCUGCCUUCGGGCGGGGGCUCCGGGUGGACACUUCAAACUCUUGCGUAACUUUGCAGUCUGAGUAAACUUAAUUAAUAAAUUAAAACUUUUAACAACGGAUCUCUUGGUUCUGGCAUCGAUGAAGAACGCAGCGAAAUGCGAUAAGUAAUGUGAAUUGCAGAAUUCAGUGAAUCAUCGAAUCUUUGAACGCACAUUGCGCCCCCUGGUAUUCCGGGGGGCAUGCCUGUUCGAGCGUCAUUUCACCACUCAAGCCUCGCUUGGUAUUGGGCAACGCGGUCCGCCGCGUGCCUCAAAUCGACCGGCUGGGUCUUCUGUCCCCUAAGCGUUGUGGAAACUAUUCGCUAAAGGGUGUUCGGGAGGCUACGCCGUAAAACAACCCCAUUUCUAAGGUUGACCUCGGAUCAGGUAGGGAUACCCGCUGAACUUAAGCAUAUCAAUAAGCGGAGGAAAAGAAACCAACAGGGAUUGCUCUAGUAACGGCGAGUGAAGCAGCAAUAGCUCAAAUUUGAAAUCUGGCGUCUUCGACGUCCGAGUUGUAAUUUGUAGAGGAUGCUUCUGAGUAACCACCGACCUAAGUUCCUUGGAACAGGACGUCAUAGAGGGUGAGAAUCCCGUAUGCGGUCGGAAAGGUGCUCUAUACGUAGCUCCUUCGACGAGUCGAGUUGUUUGGGAAU